rnacentral:tRNA from 1 species
UGAUACGUAAGGGUUUGAAAAUGGUGGGAAAUCGCCGAUUGAUGGUUUUGGACUUAAAAUCCCUCGGUGGUUUCCACCGUGCCGGUUCGAUCCCGGCCCUGGGCACCA